rnacentral:rRNA from 1 species
AGGACGAACGCUGGCGGCGUGCUUAACACAUGCAAGUGGAGCGACGAACCAGGGCUUGCCCUGGGGCAAAGCCGCGAACGGGUGAGUAACACGUGGGUAACCUGCCCCGAUGACCGGGACAACCCGAGGAAACUCGGGCUAAUACCGGAUGACUCCUUCAAGCUCAAGCCUGAAGGGAAAAGGAAGCUUCGGCCUCCGCAUUGGGAGGGGCCCGUGGCCCAUUAGCUUGUUGGUGAGGUAACGGCUCACCAAGGCUGCGAUGGGUAGCUGGUCUGAGAGGACGAUCAGCCACACUGGGACUGAGACACGGCCCAGACUCCUACGGGAGGCAGCAGUGGGGAAUAUUGCGCAAUGGCCGAAAGGCUGACGCAGCGACGCCGCGUGGGGAUGAAGCAUUUCGGUGUGUAAACCCCUGUUGCUCGGGACGAACAACCUGUUUAGACAGGUCUGACGGUACCGGGUGAGGAAGCACCGGCUAACUCCGUGCCAGCAGCCGCGGU